CUUCCCCAUGUCGUACCCUUUUUGUCCCUCGACGGCUCCUGUGGUAAAUGACUCGCCACUGCGGCCUCUAGGGGGGGGCGACCCCGGCCGCCCGCCCCAGACCGCUGUCCCAGGAAGGUACCACACGACCUGCUGCUUCUGGGAAGACAGAUUGUCUCCCUCAGCUAAUAGCUGCUCGCCCCCUCCAAGUGCUAGCGCUCCAUGCUACUAGCGUAAUAGUCCCCUAUAUAGGCUGACACUCUGUCCGUGUCGCUAUACUUCCACUACAUUGGUGGGACAGUAAGAUGUAGCUGGAAGUAUGCUGCUGACAUCUCUGCUGCUUGUCUGUGCGACAGAGCUACGCUAAGGGCUGAGAUUGAUUAUAACGUCAGAUCGAUAUCUUGACAUCCCUUGGCCUCUCAUAUGCUUUUAUCCCUGUGAUUCUCUCGACCAUUCAUCUUCUUGAAUGCUUCUUUUCAACUGCACUUUCCUCUCAUUCUCGUCGUUGUGUCUCUUCUCUUUACUUAUUUUCUCCUUUCUUCUCCUCCUAUAUUCUCUUUACUCUCCUCUCCUCCUAUCUUCUCUUCUCUCAUGUAUUAUCUCCUAUCCUCUCUUCUCUUCUCCUCUCUCCUCCCUUCUCAUCUCUCCUGGGAACUGAGAGUUAUUUGGAGACACACGUCUCCACAAGUGGGAAAAUAAGUAAUUUGGUCUCAAAUGAAGAAAACUCUUUACUUUUCUCCCAGAAGCACUGUGGGCAGAAUCCAUUAUUUAUUUAACCAUUGUUCCCUAUUAUGCCCGUCAUUGGCUUGGAGGAAACCUGUAACACACACACACAGAGACACACACACACACACACACACACACACACACACACACACACACACACACACACACACACACACACACACAUACCCACGAAACACAUAUUCACACCACACCACACACAAACACACGUGCAAACACACACACACACACACACACACACACACACACACACACACACACACACACACACACACACACACACACACACACACACACACACAAACACACAUUCAAAUCACACCACAAACAAACACACAUACACAUUCACACCACACCACACACAUCAGCGAUGCCACAGCACAUUGCAAGCCCUACUUCAACAGGCAUUAUCUCCACCACUCCAGCUCUAAAUGUCUCAUUAAAUGGACCCAGAGAUACAGAGAAUACAAGGGAUGCGAGAUUGUAGGGCAGCGAUAACAAUAAAAGCAUACAGCCAUUAGAGAAUAUACAGAUACAUAUGCAAUAUGUUGCAGACGGCAGCUGAAAGGGCUAAUGCUAUUAUUUACAUUGUGGUGAGAGUGCACUCAGGCUAAAUGCUCGGCGGCAGAAUCAGUACAACGGAAGUCAUUUUAGGAAAUUAUGUUGGCAAAUUAGUGACGCCAAGAGAGAUGCUUAUGAUGGUUUAAUCACCCAGACCAGUAUAAUGGUCCUUUAGGAAAACACAUCAUACAACCCAACAAAAAAACACGUUUCUCAAUAAUUGUAUCCAGACAUGGACAUUUUUUAAAGAUUUUUGAAGCGGUGGAAAGAAAAGCCUUAGAGUGUGGUCUAUAAUGUGUAGACCCUAUAAUGUUGAUCUUUACUUGAGUUUGGAUCCUAUAUCUGCCGUACGAGUGGUUGUGAGGUUAUGGAAGUUAUUAGCAUUGGUCCGCUGGAUAACCCAUAGUCUGUUCAGCCACAGUCCAACUGAGAGGGAGAAACGGUGACACAUUUGCCGCUUUUCCACCGCACAUGUAGCUCGACUCGACACGACUCGACACGACACGACUCGACACGGUAGCAGCACGGGUGCUUUUCCACCGCAAAUAGUACCUCCUGGACGUGGGCGGGGUCGGCUGCGCGAAAGGGCCGUGACGUAUUUUUGUACGCGACGCAAACAAGACCUACGCAACCCACACAUGGACAGAACCCACAUAACAACAAUGGAGGACAUCGAUAACAUUACUAUUAUUAGCUGGCAUAUUGAAGAAGUUGAAGAAGUGGAAUAUGUUGGCUGUGGCGCUGCUAUGGCUGUUACCAGCAUGGUUGCCAUGUCGCUCUCGUGACUUCGUCACACUCUCUGGCCAAUAAGUGGCCGGCCGUCUGCCGACGUCACCUUUUAGCAUCGGCUCAGCCGCUUGGAACCUAGAGCGAGGCGGUACUAGAAAAAGCAGCCACUUCAGGUACCAGGUACCAUGUUUUCGCGGUGGAAACGCAAAAAAUGCGAGCUGAGUCGAGUCGAGUCGAGUCGUGUCGAGCUGGUACCAUGCAGUGGAAAAGCGGCAAUAGAUUACCUCUUAUCUACUUUGUCGCAGGCAUUCUCCCCAUACAUACAAGAAUGCAGUCUGGAUGUGCUCUCACACACACACACACACACACACACACACACACACACACACACACACACACACACACACACACACACACACACACACACACACACACACACACUUAGACUGGCACACACACACACACACACACAGUUUGGGACUGGCUUACAGGGUCUUAGCCACGGAUGGAGCCUGGGUGGGGCCGGCAGGGAGGAGAGAAACCUGCUCAUCCACAAAGUUUUUCGCUCUGCUGCACACGUCUUAGAAACGAUAGACUGAUCCAUUGUUCCAUCCUCCCCUUCUCCCUCCCUUGUUCUGGCUCCGGGACGCCUCCCUUUCAUCCUUAUCCUUGGAAAUCCUGUUGUCCUGCAUUGUUCUCUCAUUCUCCUCCAUUGUCUCUCUUUACCUCCAUCUUUCUACUUAUGUCUCUCUCUCUCUCUCUCUCUCUCUCUCUCUCUCUCUCUCUCUCUCUCUCUCUCUCUCUAUGUCUCUCUUUCUCAAUGUCUCUCUCUCUAUGUCCCUCUCUAUGUCUCUCUCUCUCUAUGUCCCUCUGUAUGUCUCUCUCUCUCUCUCUCUCUCUCUCUCUCUCUCUCUCUCUCUCCGUCUCUCUCUAUGUCUCUCUCUCUCUCUUUCUCUCUCUCUAUGGCUCUCUCUCGCUGUCUCUCUCUCUCUCUCUCUCUCUCUCUCUCUCUCUCUGCCUCUCUCUUUCUCUCUCUCUCUCUCUCUCUCGCUGUCUCUCUCUCUCUCUCUCUCUCUCUCUCGCUCUCGCUCUCGCUCUCUCUCUCGCUCUCUCUCUUUCUCUCUCUCUGUCUGGCAUGUGUGGUUUGCUACCCCUCUCCACUCUCUCCCCACACCGACCCUGCUCGUCCUUCCCUCUCUCCUCUUCCCUCCUCUCUCUCUCUCCAUCAUGCACGUCAUCGAUAUCCUCUGUCGUUCCCACUCUUCUCUUACUGUCUUGCUCCCUCCUCUCCUUCUUUCCCCAUCCCUCUCUCCUCCUAUUUUUCUUCCUCAGCAUGGACGUUCAGAAUUUUCAUGGGAAGGAAUCAAUCUGUCUAUGGAAGACACCACAUCCAUCUUGCCACGGCUGAAGAGGAACUCAAACGCCUAUGGGAUCGGAGCUCUGGCUAAGUCCUCUCUGACAGGUGUGUCAGGCGUGAGUCGCUCCAUGAAGGAGAGGGUGACGAAGCCCACGGCCAUGGCCCAGGGCCGCGUGGCCCACAUGAUCGAGUGGCAGAACUGGGGCAUGCAGACGGUGGGCGCCGGGGGCGUGCCCAUCCCCCGCAUCACCACCCAGGAGCGGGAGAAUGAGCGGCGGCUGGAGAACGACGCCUACAGCGACCUCAGCGAUGGCGAGAAGGAGGCGAGAUUUGCCGCAGGCAUCCUGCAGCAGUUUGCCAUCUCGCAGGCCACCCUGAUGGCGUGGACGUCCAUGGACGGAGAGAGCCUGCGCUCGGGCUCCAACCAGGGCAGUGUGGCCCACCUGAGCGAGGUCAACCAGGAGAGCAUCACCAGCCGAGACCAGAUACUGCACCACUCCUCGGCAGACGUGUGGCCCCACACCUACGUCUCCCAGGGCCUGUACUGCCUCUCCUCCUCCGACGCCUGGGAGCCAAUCAACAACGAGCCCUCCGGCGUGGCCUCUCCGGCCGCCGGCUCCUACGUCAUGGGGGGCGGGACCGAGGGCUUUGACGGACAGACGGCCUCCCAGUACCUGUCCCAGCAGCAGCAGCCUCAGCAGCAGCAGCCUCAGCAGCAGCAGCCUCAGCAGCAGCAGCCUCAGCAGCAGCAGCCUCAGCAGCAGCAGCUCAGCCUCCAGCAGCAGAGUCAGCUCCAUCAGCUGCAGCAGAUCCAACAGAUCCAGCACUACCAGCACCAGCAGCUCCUGCAGUAUCAGCAGCAGCAGUCCCUGGAGCAGCGGCUGCACAGCGCCAAUCACUCGCUACAGGCCACCCCCAACAGCACCAUCCACAGCCUGGCCCCGGCCAGCUACCCGCCGCUGGUGGACCUGUGGAACGGGGCGCAGACCGAGGCCUACCAGGUGGAGGGCGGGAGCUACCUGGGCGUGGCCGCCGUGGUGGAGCCCAGCAUGGGGGUCGUCAUGGGCGACGACGUGAUUGGCACGGAACACUCCCCGCUGCUGGAGCAACAGGAGGAGGAGGAGUUUAAGGAGGAGGAGGUGACCUUAUGCAUCGAGUCAGAGACAGCCACGCUAACUCCCCCCACAAGACCAGGAGACGUCUCCUCCGGCGGCAGUAGUCCGGGGCAACCGCCGGUCGAGCCAAUGACGGAGCGGAAGGCGUCGGACGUCAGCCCCGGCUACGCUCAGACUCUGGAGGAGAAGAGCGAGGGGCAGCAGGAGGGCUCCUCCCCCUCCAUGUCCGCUAACUGAGUACCGCGCUGCUCUGGGGGAGGGGGGGGGACUCUAACGGACUGACUCUAACGGACUGACCCGGGCGUCAGAAAGGGAAGGAGCGCCAUGACUCAAUACAUACUCCCAUCAUCCAUCGGCUCCUUUUCAGGGCUCAUCAACACGCGCUGAUCUUUUUGGGGGGGUGGUUGUUGUUGUUGUUGUUUUUCCUCAUUUCCUGGCAACACUCAGACUAACGCUGUCAACGUGGCGAGGCCGGUGAGGUGGCCUCCUAGGGAUCACCGAGGAUGCAACCCGGGACACAAGGAGUCUUCAUCAAGCCUUACAUCCUGUAGGUCACGUAGGAGACUAGGGGAGGGAGGCGGGAGAUAGAGAAUGAGGGGGAUCAGAGAGACAAGCCUACCAAGAGAGUGAUGGUUGAUGUGACAACCACCCCAAAACUAAACGGGGGAACAAGGAAACAUGCAUGCUGUCAACAAAGACACACAACCCGACCUGGUCAUCGUCUUGUAACGAUAACAAUAAAUACCUAUUGUAAGAAUACCUUCAAUUAAAACAACACUUUUUAAUGAAUACCAAAAAGAAAAUCACUAAAAUCGAUGUAAACGUGUAAGAUAUUUAUAAAUAUAUGUAUGUAUAUAUGUAUAUAUAUACAUACACAUAUAUACUGUAUAUAUAUAUAUAUAUAUAUAUAUAUAUAUAUAUAUAUAUAUAUAUAUACUGUAUAUAUAUACAUACAUAUACAAAAACAAUAUUUUCCAACAGGAGAGCCUCUCUGUUUACAGCUAUCAUUAAAUAUAUGAUGUAUUGCUUAAUCAAUUAACAACCGUAAAAGUCCCUUCCGUCACUACCGUCGCACCCUUGUUACCACUACAACGACCAAUACUACUACUUCCACCACUACCACUAAAGUACAGGUAACUACCCAAUAAUAGUAUUAUGGGACAAGAUUAGAAAAGUACAAACAAAGCAACAAUUCUGACAAUUCUGAAACCUAAAUUAAAAAAAAAACACAUUUACAUUUCUGUGAGUUACAGUUUGGUCCUCUAAAAUGCAGCCAUUAGCAGGCGUUGCUGCGGACACAGACCCGGGCCCACCCCAGGGACCCCCCUGACCUGGGGGCUGCACACACCCAAGGCCCAUGAAGAGGAUUGUACUGGAACAGAGUGGGCUUCCUCUGACUAUGUCUUUCAGUGCACAGGCUACUUCUUCAGAGUACUAUGGAGUACUUGUACAAUACGUGGCGGUACAGACUUUGAUCCAUGGUUUCCUGGACUGAGCCUGGGCUGGGCCUGGGUGGGGGAGUGGUUCUGUGUCUGUGAUUGGGGAACCUUCUUGAACAAAGCGGCUCUGUGGGGUUCAUGGAUGUGAAUGGAGGAGAGGGAGAGAAUCUCUCCUUUUGCACUGAUGCAAUCCGGAUGGACAGAGGUGGCCUUUGGAACUGCAGGAGAAACACCUGUUGGUAAACGUCUCUACUCCUUCACCUCCAGCACCCAACCCCAAGCUGCUUUGUUCCAAUACAGUCGUCGUAUUAACCUGGGGCUGUGGAGCACUAUGGAAUGUACUAUAAUAAGGCAUAAUACACAGUCGUAAUCUGUUUUAAUCCAAGAGUGUUGUGUCUUAAAUGUCUUUCAAUGUCUCCUUUGUGAAACGCAAACAUGUUUCAGUCAAAGAUUGAAAGAUUGUUCUACAAAUUUGUAUAACUUGUUUAAAAUGGAUAUACACGCAAACGCACAUUAACAGACGCACCCACACACACACACACACAUACACACACACACACACACAAACACACAAACACACACACACGCACACACACACACACACACACACACACACACACAUACACGCACACAGAUAGAAAGAGGAGUUUCUAAAUUGUAACCAGCAAUAGCCAGAUGAAACCCUGGGCAUCUGACAGGCUACCGGCAGCUCUGUCAUAUACAAAUGUAAAUAGUUACAAAAUAUAUAUAAAUCGCCUCUCUCACGGUUUCAACUGUUUAGUACAGCCUGAUUUCUUUAUUUUUCUAUCUUCCUACAUUGUCCCGUCUUACUUUGGGAUUGCACUCCAAAUAGAAAAACGAUGGCUGGAUUCUUAAUUUGCUGUCCAUGAACACACACACAAGAGCGGGCGAGAGGGUUGUGGUGCAUCGUAAAUAGAGCACUCACCAACUGCUCCAAGAGGAGGGCUGGCGUGGUCCCUAGUUACCAUAGUAACAAGCCCCCCCCCCCCACACACACACACACACCGGUGUACAGGGAUCACUCAGUGUCUGCCAUGCAAGUCAUUCAGGGAGCUGAACAGAACAGAGAGAGAGAGAGAGAGAGAGAGAGAGAGAGAGAGAGAGAGAGAGAGAGAGAGAGAGAGAGAGAGAGAGAGAGAGAGAGAGAGAGAGAGAGAGAGAGAGAGAGAGAGAGAGAGAGUAGGGUGGCUUCCUGCCCCCUUGGGACUUUAGGCAAACGUGUUCCUUUCCUUUGGAAGAACAAGUGUGUUUCCCCACGGGGGGGCGAAUGCUGCCAUCUGAUUGGUCGGCCGUGUGCAUGACUCACUUAUGACUCAGCUUCUUCACCGACAAAAUCACUCUGGACAUUUUCUGUUGCAGAGCCAUGUCUCUGCUCACUCUGAUGAUUGUGUGACCAACUUUUAAGAUUACAAAUAUGUAGGUUUAUUGACUUUAUUUCUUGAUCGCUUAUUUAUGCAAUGUUAUGGGACAUUUAUUUUUCUACUCAAAUGGUUGAAGUUCCCCCCAGUAGGCCUAUCAGAAAGACAUGUGUCCGUUUAAAGCAUGCCCAUCUUGGUCAGGUUUUGAGCACUUUUGUCUGAGAUACAACUUACUAUAUUAUUACAAAUAAGAGAAAGACCUUGAUGAUCCAUUGCAUUUCCAUUCCUAUAUAACACCACAUGCUAUCAUUAUCAUAGCCACGACAAACCAUGAUUAUGUAGGGUCAAUAAUGGUUUUAAGAAAAUAAGAAUAAGCGAAUGAGUGCUGUUGAACAUCAGAAUAGUGGCCUGACCUCCGGCUGAGAAGAGUUAGUCCUCAAUGUCCCUGGCUGACCUGUAGGCAGACCCUGUGUUCGACUCAUGGUGGUGAUACAGUGGUGAUAAAGUGGUGGUGAUACAGUGGUGUUGCAGUAGAUAUACUGUGGUCGUAAUACAGUGGUGAUACAGUGAUUACACAGUGGUGGUGAUACAGUGGUGGUGAUACAGUGGUUUUUUAUGCAGUGUUGGUAAUACAGUGGUGGUGAUACAAUGUUUUUUUAUGCAUGAUGGUGAUACAGUAGUGAUACGGUGAUGGUGAUACACUGGUGAUACAUUGGUUAUACAGUGGUGGUGAUACAGUGGUUAUACAUUGGUUAUACAGUGGUGGCAAUACAGUGUUUUUUUAUGCAGUGUUGGUGAUACAGUGGUGGUAAUACAGUGUCGGUGGCACAGCAGUGAUUCAGUGGUUACACAGUGGUGAUGAUACAGUGGUGAUACAGUGAUGGUGAUACAGCGGUGAUACAGUGUGGUGAUACGGUGGUUAAACAGUGGUGGUUAUACAGUGGUGGUUACACCAUGGUGGUGAUACAUUGGUGAUAAAUUGGGUUACACAGUGACGGUGAUACAGUGGUGAUACAGUGGUUGUACAGUGGUUACACAGUGGUGGUUACACAGUGGUGGUGAUACGGUGGUGAUACGGUGGUUAUACAGUGGUGGUUAUGCAGUGGUGGUGAUACAGUGGUGAUACGGUGGUUAUACAGUGGUGGUGAUACAGUGGUGGUGAUACAUUGGUGAUACAUUGCAUCACUUUGGAUAAAAGCGAUAAAUGACCAAAUAGUGAACAGAAUAUAUUCAACUGUCAUUACAGUUCAAUGUUUAUUAAACUAUACUCAAAUGUUUUUACAGUUGAGUACUUACUAUGAUAGGGAAAUUAUAGUCAUUACUAUCAUUUAUUUGUUUCAUUAUUUUAUUUGAAUGGCAAAUUGUUAAACCAGCAACAUGAAGCUCAAGUUAAGAGGACUCAAAGCCCGGUGAAAAUGGGAUGUCUUUACACACAAUGACACAUAUUUAUUUAUUUAUUGAAGAAUGAUUUGGGGGAGGAAUGAUGAACGAGGUGUGUAAAGUCACUUGGUUUCUUGCAGGCUGCGGUGGGGCCCUAUUGGCAGCAGUAUCCUCAUCUCUUUCAGAGUCAUUCCAGGGUCUGGCUCUUCAGACGGAGGUGAUGGAGCAGGCUGCUGUUAACGGCAGUUCUAUGCUUGCAUGAUUGAUAACGACGCAGCUGUUUUUAAAGAUGGUCACUCCUUCAGUUUACCAAAGAAAAGAACCACGCUUAUCACAGCAAGAAAACAAGAUCAAAAAAAUAUGCAUGAAACUAUGAACGGUACUGCUUCAAGUGUGGCUCACCUUUCAGUUUUUCUUUUUUUAGAUAUGAUGAUAUCAACGAGUGAUUGAAUAACAAGGAGCCAAAAGCAUUUCUGUGGAUGUUGACAGACUAUCUCUGUGCUGAUGGAUUGAUUUCCCGCUGAGUUCACAUUUUGUAUGAUUCUACUGCCCCCGUCCGGGACAUCCCCUCCAGGACACCCCGUCCGGGACAUCCCGUCCAGGACGUCCUGCCCUGGAAUACCUGUACACGCGCAACAAUCGUACUGCUUCCGCUCCCCUACUACUUCUUUACUCCCUGUCUUUCUUUCUUUCUGUUCUAUUCUUUCUUAUUGUUCUCUGUCCUCUUAUCUCUGUGUGAGGGUUCUUUAAUGCCUACUCGUGUCCGUGAGUCCGUUUGCAGUUACCGUCUGCUGUCUCGUUGGAAGAAUCACUGCCUGAAAAUAACCUUUUAUUUUUUUUACUGGAACGCAUUGACCAAAACGUUUUGAGGUUUGAGGCCAAACCCAGAUUAAGCAUUAACAUAUGAUGAUUUGAAACUGUGUGGCACUGAACCUAAAGUAAAUAAUGUAUAAAAAAAUAUGAUAAUUGAUGGAUUAUGUAAUUCACUGUAUAAAAAUGGAUGGAUUUAAGUCUUUUGGACUGAAGUGAUGACAUCAGUGUGAAACAUCCAUACCUAUGCAUGCUUGUUGGAAGGUUAUCACACGAUGGCUCAUGGUUUACACCCUGUGUCAACCAAUCUCUCUCUCCUCCUCUCCCUUUCUCUCCCUCCUUCUCCUCCCCUCUCUACUUCCUGCACGAGAGAUCCUCCUCCCUCUCCUCGGGGCCGGUACCUUUCUUCCUCUCCUCUUUCCCUCCGCUGGGGGAAAGAGACAAUAAAUGACCAACAAAUCAAA